UUGAUAUUUAGGUGUUGGGCUC
rnacentral:siRNA from 1 species